UACGUAGGGGGCAAGCGUUGUCCGGAAUCAUUGGGCGUAAAGAGCGCGUAGGCGGUCCGGUAAGUCCGCUGUGAAAGUCAAGGGCUCAACCCUGGAAAGCCGGUGGAUACUGUCGGGCUAGAGUCCGGAAGAGGCGAGUGGAAUUCCUGGUGUAGCGGUGGAAUGCGCAGAUAUCAGGAGGAACACCGAUGGCGAAGGCAGCUCGCUGGGACGGUACUGACGCUGAGGCGCGAAAGCGUGGGGAGCGAACAGG
rnacentral:rRNA from 1 species